rnacentral:rRNA from 1 species
UACGUAGGGUGCGAGCGUUGCCCGGAAUUAUUGGGCGUAAAGAGCUCGUAGGCGGUGUGUCACGUCGGCCGUGAAAACCUGCAGCUUAACUGUGGGCGUGCGGUCGAUACGGGCAUGACUGGAGUUCGGCAGGGGAGACUGGAAUUCCUGGUGUAGCGGUGAAAUGCGCAGAUAUCAGGAGGAACACCGGUGGCGAAGGCGGGUCUCUGGGCCGAUACUGACGCUGAGGAGCGAAAAGCGUGGGGAGCGAACAGG